UACGGGGGGAGCAAGCGUUGUUCGGAUUUACUGGGCGUAAGGGCGCGUAGGCGGCCACCGCAAGUCGACUGUGAAAUCUCCGGGCUUAACCCGGAAAGGUCAGCCGAUACUGCGGGGCUAGAGUGCAGAAGGGGCAACUGGAAUUCUCGGUGUAGCGGUGAAAUGCGUAGAUAGUCGAGAGGAACACCUGCGGCGAAGGCGGUUGCUGGGCUGACACGUGACGCUGAGGCGCGAAAGCUAGGGGAGCGAACGGG
rnacentral:rRNA from 1 species